AUGUCUGUCUCCUCCACUAGACUGUAGUUCCCUGAUACACACUCUUCUUGCUCAUGUCGCUAGCAUCAGCACCAAGGACAGUUCCAGGCACAUCCCUCACUCCACACUCAUUUAAUGAAUCAAUGUGAAUAAACCUGUUAUACGUUAUGUCAUUGAUAUAAAUGCAUAAAUUGUCUAUAUUUAUUUUUUCACAGAGCAUGGAUGUGGUCAUUUUUAAAUAAAUCAUAUAACUCUUUUAUGAAGUGCCACAUUAAAAAUCGCUUUUCAGAAAUGCUUAGCAAUGUGGGACCCCAGCUGAUUUCACACUGAAGUUAUUGUUGCCUAGGAGAGGACACAAUGAUGAGGACUUCCAGCACUACGUUGAAUAGCAGUGUUAAGACUGGGCAUCCUUGCCUUGUUCUGGACCUUGGCAGAAAAGCUUUAGUUUUCUUCACUGAUUAUGAUGCUAGAGCUCCAAAUUUACCAUGCCAUCAGGAGCUGAAUAUUUUGUUAUUUGAGAGACAUGAAAUACACUGAGAAGCAAAAGGACUUUCCCAAAGUCACAGCUAGUAAAUGGAAGAACGGUGACCAGGUACUCAGUUGGUCAAACCAAUUAUAAAACACAAAUAAUCAAUAGCAAUUACUAAGACC
rnacentral:lncRNA from 1 species